AACAAAGGGGUAUCCAUCUGUUAUACAGAUAUAUCUAUCUCUUCUACAGAACUUGGGCGGGGGCUAGUUAAGAAAGGGAAAGGUAAACCGGCCGCAUACUAUCCUAAGUCAGAUCCCGGCACUGUCAGUGUCUCAACCACACAGAGAAACAGGCUUCCAGAAAACCAAGGGUCAGAGGGGAUGGUGGAGUUCAGCAUCCUCGGGCCCCAUGGAGUCACAGUUCCUCAAACUUGACCCGACAGCGCCCCUUCCCAAAGGAAGCAUUUUCAGAAGGGUUUCCCUCUUGCUUCUCCACCCUCUGAGUAAAUAAUGCCAGCAGCGCAAAGUGCACAUUCCGGGAGCACCCAAGACACCAGGGCAGCACGUAGGCUGCACCCCAGAUAUAGAACCCCUUAUAGGAAAGUGCUCCUUCCAGAACCUUCUCAACAGCACUCCAGCUUCCCCUCAGAGCUUUUACUUUACCAGCGAGAUGGAGAGGACGGGCUGAGAACAGGCAGGGCCCCUCCCCGGAGCCCGACGCCAGCCGCCCCAGGUGAAGCAACUCAAGCUCAGAGAUGUUAAGUAACUUGUUGAAAGUUGACUUACUGCAUUAAAGUGGCUGGGAUUAGAACAUCGGUCUGUCUGACUCUGAAGUCCAUGUUCCGCUCUGGCAAUUGUUUCCACAACAGCAGUAGAGAUGUAGUGGUGUUGGUAUGAGGUGAGCUUCCUCUGAGUGUAACUGCUGGAGAUGCAGCACCAGCCGGGAUUCCUGGUUGCAAGCAACAGAAACUAAAGAGUGAAUUAAACAGCAAAGGCAUUUAUUGGAGAGUCAUAGGGUAAAUCAAAUACUGAUAUAAAGACUGAGGAACCAGGCAGGAACCUGCCUCCACUGAGACACCAUGGGAAAUUCCUCUAGGAAGGUGUUUGGAUUCUGGGAAGCCAAAACAGAAUGACAAACAUUUACUGCAGACUCCUAGAAGAGUGUCAAGGAUUGGAAUCCCAAUAAUGAACAUUUGUACUCAAGUGUAGCUAAA